rnacentral:rRNA from 1 species
GAUGGAAGUGCUAGUCUAAGGUCGUAGGAGGUUAUACAGGCAAAUCCGUAUAACAAUACUCCGAGAACUGAAAGGCUUUUUGAAGUCUUCGGAUGGAUAGAAGAACCCCUGAUGCCGUCGAGCCAAGAAAAGUUUCUAAGUUUAGCUAAUGUUGCCCGUACCGUAAACCGACACAGGUGGGUGGGAUGAGUAUUCUAAGGCGCGUGGAAGAACUCUCUUUAAGGAACUCUGCAAAAUAGCACCGUAUCUUCGGUAUAAGGUGUGGUUAGCUUUGUAUUAGGAUUUACUCCGAAAGCAAGGAAACUUACAACAAAGAGUCCCUCCCGACUGUUUACCAAAAACACAGCACUCUGCUAACUCGUAAGAGGAUGUAUAGGGUGUGACGCCUGCCCGGUGCUCGAAGGUUAAUUGAUGGGGUUAGCAUUAGCGAAGCUCUUGAUCGAAGCCCGAGUAAACGGCGGCCGUAACUAUAACGGUCCUAAGGUAGCGAAAUUCCUUGUCGGUUAAAUACCGACCUGCAUGAAUGGCGUAACGAGAUGGGAGCUGUCUCAAAGAGGGAUCCAGUGAAAUUGUAGUGGAGGUGAAAAUUCCUCCUACCCGCGGCAAGACGGAAAGACCCCGUGGACCUUUACUACAGCUUGACACUGCUACUUGGAUAAGAAUGUGCAGGAUAGGUGGGAGGCUUUGAGUAUAUGACGCCAGUUGUAUAUGAGCCAUUGUUGAGAUACCACUCUUUCUUAUUUGGGUAGCUAACCAGCUUGAGUUAUCCUCAAGUGGGACAAUGUCUGGUGGGUAGUUUGACUGGGGCGGUCGCCUCCCAAAUAAUAACGGAGGCUUACAAAGGUUGGCUCAGAACGGUUGGAAAUCGUUCGUAGAGUAUAAAGGUAUAAGCCAGCUUAACUGCAAGACAUACAAGUCAAGCAGAGACGAAAGUCGGUCUUAGUGAUCCGGUGGUUCUGUGUGGAAGGGCCAUCGCUCAAAGGAUAAAAGGUACCCCGGGGAUAACAGGCUGAUCUCCCCCAAGAGCUCACAUCGACGGGGAGGUUUGGCACCUCGAUGUCGGCUCAUCGCAUCCUGGGGCUGGAGCAGGUCCCAAGGGUAUGGCUGUUCGCCAUUUAAAGCGGUACGCGAGCUGGGUUCAGAACGUCGUGAGACAGUUCGGUCCCUAUCUGCCGUGGGCGUAAGAAGAUUGAAGAGAUUUGACCCUAGUACGAGAGGACCGGGUUGAACAAACCACUGGUGUAGCUGUUGUUCUGCCAAGAGCAUCGCAGCGUAGCUAAGUUUGGAAAGGAUAAACGCUGAAAGCAUCUAAGCGUGAAGCCAACUCUAAGAUGAAUCUUCUCUAAGCUCUCUAGAAGACUACUAGUUUGAUAGGCUGGGUGUGUAAUGGAUGAAAGUCCUUUAGCUGACCAGUACUAAUAGAGCGUUUGGCUUAUCUUU